GGGUGAGGAAUACAUCGGAAUCUACUCUGUCGUGGGGGAUAACGUAGGGAAACUUACGCUAAUACCGCAUACGACCUACGGGUGAAAGCAGGGGAUCUUCGGACCUUGCGCGAUUGAAUGAGCCGAUGUCGGAUUAGCUAGUUGGCGGGGUAAAGGCCCACCAAGGCGACGAUCCGUAGCUGGUCUGAGAGGAUGAUCAGCCACACUGGAACUGAGACACGGUCCAGACUCCUACGGGAGGCAGCAGUGGGGAAUAUUGGACAAUGGGCGCAAGCCUGAUCCAGCCAUACCGCGUGGGUGAAGAAGGCCUUCGGGUUGUAAAGCCCUUUUGUUGGGAAAGAAAUCCAGCCGGCUAAUACCUGGUUGGGAUGACGGUACCCAAAGAAUAAGCACCGGCUAACUUCGUGCCAGCAGCCGCGGUAAUACGAAGGGUGCAAGCGUUACUCGGAAUUACUGGGCGUAAAGCGUGCGUAGGUGGUUAUUUAAGUCCGUUGUGAAAGCCCUGGGCUCAACCUGGGAACUGCAGUGGAUACUGGAUGACUAGAAUGUGGUAGAGGGUAGCGGAAUUCCUGGUGUAGCAGUGAAAUGCGUAGAGAUCAGGAGGAACAUCCAUGGCGGAGGCAGCUACCUGGACCAACAUUGACACUGAGGCACGAAAGCGUGGGGAGCAAACAGGGUUAGAUACCCUGGUAGUCCACGCCCUAAACGAUGCGAACUG
rnacentral:rRNA from 1 species